AGUGAACGCUGGCGGUAGGCCUAACACAUGCAAGUCGAACGGCAGCACAGUAAGAGCUUGCUCUUACGGGUGGCGAGUGGCGGACGGGUGAGGAAUACAUCGGAAUCUACUUUUUCGUGGGGGAUGACGUAGGGAAACUUACGCUAAUACCGCAUACGACCUACGGGUGAAAGCAGGGGAUCUUCGGACCUUGCGCGAUUGAAUGAGCCGAUGUCGGAUUAGCUAGUUGGCGGGGUAAAGGCCCACCAAGGCGACGAUCCGUAGCUGGUCUGAGAGGAUGAUCAGCCAAACUGGAACUGAGACACGGUCCAGACUCCUACGGGAGGCAGCAGUGGGGAAUAUUGGACAAUGGGCGCAAGCCUGAUCCAGCCAUACCGCGUGGGUGAAGAAGGCCUUCGGGUUGUAAAGCCCUUUUGUUGGGAAAGAAAAGCAGCAGGUUAAUACCCCGCUGUUCUGACGGUACCCAAAGAAUAAGCACCGGCUAACUUCGUG
rnacentral:rRNA from 1 species